rnacentral:rRNA from 1 species
AUUGAACGCUGGCGGCAUGCCUUACACAUGCAAGUCGAACGGCAGCACGGGAGCAAUCCUGGUGGCGAGUGGCGAACGGGUGAGUAAUAUAUCGGAACGUGCCCAGUCGUGGGGAUAACGUAGCGAAAGCUACGCUAAUACCGCAUACGAUCUAAGGAUGAAAGCGGGGGACCGUAAGGCCUCGCGCGAUUGGAGCGGCCGAUGGCAGAUUAGGUAGUUGGUGGGGUAAAGGCUCACCAAGCCUGCGAUCUGUAGCUGGUCUGAGAGGACGACCAGCCACACUGGGACUGAGACACGGCCCAGACUCCUACGGGAGGCAGCAGUGGGGAAUUUUGGACAAUGGGCGCAAGCCUGAUCCAGCAAUGCCGCGUGCAGGAUGAAGG